rnacentral:rRNA from 1 species
GACGAACGCUGGCGGCGUGCUUAACACAUGCAAGUCGAACGGUGACCUCGAGAGCUUGCUCUCGGGCGAUCAGUGGCGAACGGGUGAGUAACACGUGAGUAACCUGCCCCAGACUCUGGAAUAACCCCGGGAAACCGGAGCUAAUACCGGAUACGAGACGGAGUCGCAUGGCUACCGUCUGGAAAGUUUUUCGGUCUGGGAUGGACUCGCGGCCUAUCAGCUAGUUGGUGAGGUAACGGCUCACCAAGGCGACGACGGGUAGCCGGCCUGAGAGGGCGACCGGCCACACUGGGACUGAGACACGGCCCAGACUCCUACGGGAGGCAGCAGUGGGGAAUAUUGCGCAAUGGGCGAAAGCCUGAUGCAGCGACGCCGCGUGAGGGAUGACGGCCUUCGGGUUGUAAACCUCUUUCAGCAGGGAAGAAGCGAAAGUGACGGUACCUGCAGAAGAAGCACCGGCUAACUACGUGCCAGCCGCCGCAGUAAGAC